rnacentral:misc_RNA from 1 species
CUCUUGUCAUCCAAAUUCUUCCCUAUAAUCCAAACAAAUUAUAACAAUCUCAUAAACAAAAAAAUCAAGAGGCAAAGGGAAUAAGAAUGAAUAAUUUAGGAAAGUAUUGAUGUCAACCAAUAAAAAAAAAGUAUGAUAAUCUAUGACCCCAUCAAUUCGAUUCAAUUCAAGCAUACAUAGAAGUUAAUCUUCAGUCCUCAGUAUCUGAAACCCAAUAUAAACCAAACCCACAACUUUGCAAAGUCCUAGCCACUUCUUUGGAUGCCUCCUCGACCCCCAAUAACAAAAAUCAAAGCAACAAAAACCGAUUAUUAACAAUCACAAAUAAAAUCAAUACUAACCAUCCAAAAUCGACCAAAUUAGGACGGAAAAGGAGCAAAAUAAACCCAUUAAACUCAGAAAAUAAACCUCCAAAAAGAUUACCUUUUGAGCAUCUCUAGGUAUUCCAUAUCCGCUAUAAUACAUUUG